GGGAGCUUGCUCCCUGAGAUUAGCGGCGGACGGGUGAGUAACACGUGGGCAACCUGCCUAUAAGACUGGGAUAACUUCGGGAAACCGGAGCUAAUACCGGAUACGUUCUUUUCUCGCAUGAGAGAAGAUGGAAAGACGGUUUACGCUGUCACUUAUAGAUGGGCCCGCGGCGCAUUAGCUAGUUGGUGAGGUAAUGGCUCACCAAGGCGACGAUGCGUAGCCGACCUGAGAGGGUGAUCGGCCACACUGGGACUGAGACACGGCCCAGACUCCUACGGGAGGCAGCAGUAGGGAAUCUUCCGCAAUGGACGAAAGUCUGACGGAGCAACGCCGCGUGAACGAAGAAGGCCUUCGGGUCGUAAAGUUCUGUUGUUAGGGAAGAACAAGUACCAGAGUAACUGCUGGUACCUUGACGGUACCUAACCAGAAAGCCACGGCUAACUACGUGCCAGCAGCCGCGGUAAUACGUAGGUGGCAAGCGUUGUCCGGGAAUUAUUGGGCGUAAAGCGCGCGCAGGUGGUUCCUUAAGUCUGAUGUGAAAGCCCACGGCUCAACCGUGGAGGGUCAUUGGAAACUGGGGAACUUGAUUGCAAAAGAGGAAAGUGGAAUUCCAAGUGU
rnacentral:rRNA from 1 species